UUCUUUAUAGAAGAAAAUAUAAAGUAUAACCUGCUCAAUGAUUUUUAAAUAGCCGCGAUAUUUGAUCGUGCUAAGGUAGCAUAAUAAUUUGUCUUUUAAUUAAGGUCUAGAAUGAAUGGUUGAACGAAAAAUUAACUUUUUUAAUUAAAUUUUUAUUAAUUUUAUUUUUUAGUAAAAAAGCUAAAAUUAUUUUAUGUGACGAUAAGACCCUAUAAAAUUUUAUUUUUUGUUUGUUUAUGAAUAAUUAGUUUUUAUUUUUUGUAAAUUUUAUUAAAAAUUUGGUUGGGGUGAUUAUUUUAUUCAAAGAACUAUAAUUUUUAAAUUUCACUAAUUUGUGAUUUAUUGAUCCUAAAAUUUAGAUUAUAAGAAUAAAUUACUUUAGGGAUAACAGCGUAAUUUUCUUGGGGAGUUCUUAUUUAUAAGAAAGAUUGCG
rnacentral:rRNA from 1 species